rnacentral:rRNA from 1 species
AGUCCCGCAACGAGCGCAACCCUUAUUACUAGUUGCCAGCAUUUAGUUGGGCACUCUAGUGAGACUGCCGGUGACAAACCGGAGGAAGGUGGGGACGACGUCAAAUCAUCAUGCCCCUUAUGACCUGGGCUACACACGUGCUACAAUGGAUGGUACAACGAGUUGCGAGACCGCGAGGUUUAGCUAAUCUCUUAAAACCAUUCUCAGUUCGGAUUGUAGGCUGCAACUCGCCUACAUGAAGCCGGAAUCGCUAGUAAUCGCGGAUCAGCAUGCCGCGGUGAAUACGUUCCCGGGCCUUGUACACACCGCCCGUCA